GACGGGGGAUGCGAGCGUUAUCCGGAAUGAUUGGGCGUAAAGGGUCCGCAGGUGGCCCGGUCAGUCCGCUGUCAAAGCCUGGGGCUCAACCCUGGAGAGGCGGCGGAGACCACCGGGCUUGAGUCCGGUAGGGGCAGAGGGAAUUCCCGGUGGAGCGGUGAAAUGCGUAGAGAUCGGGAAGAACACCAAUGGCGAAGGCAGCACUCUGGGACGUGACUGACGCUGAGACGCGAAAGCGUGGGGAGCAAACAGG
rnacentral:rRNA from 1 species